GAUGAAGAACGUAGCAAAAUGCGAUACUUGGUGUGAAUUGCAGAAUCCCGUGAACCAUCGAGUUUUUGAACGCAAGUUGCGCCCGAAGCCUUUUGGCCGAGGGCACGUCUGCCUGGGCGUCACGCAUCGCGUCGCCCCCCACAAUUCUCCGUAAAAGGAACAUGUGUUUUGGGGGCGGAUAAUGGUCUCCCGUGCUCAUGGCGUGGUUGGCCGAAAUAGGAGUCCUUUCGAUGGACGCACGAACUAGUGGUGGUCGUAAAAACCCUCGUCUUUUGUUUCGUGCUGUUGCUCGCAAGGUAAACUCUUUAAAAACCCCAAUGUGUCGUCUCUUGACGACGCUUCGACCGCGACCCCAGGUCAGGCGGGACUACCCGCUGAGUUUAAGCAUAUCAAUAAGCGGAGGA
rnacentral:misc_RNA from 1 species